UCUUGCUAGAACGGAUCCGACGGUGAGGGACGAAGCCCUGGGUCGCAAACGGGAUUAGAUACCCCGGUAGUCCAGGGUGUAAACGCUGCAGACUUGGUGUUGGGGACCCUUUGGGGGUGUUCAGUGCCGGAGAGAAGUUGUUAAGUCUGCUACUUGGGGAGUACGUCCGCAAGGAUGAAACUUAAAGGAAUUGGCGGGGGAGCACCGCAACGGGAGGAACGUGCGGUUUAAUUGGAUUCAACACCGGAAAACUCACCAGCAAAGACUGUUACAUGAAAGUCAGGCCGAUGACCUUACUAGAUUUUCAGAGAGGUGGUGCAUGGCCGUCGUCAGUUCGUACCGUAAGGCGUUCUCUUAAGUGAGAUAACGAACGAGACCCUCACCAAUAGUUGCUACUGCGUCGUCCGCGGCGUAGGCACACUAUUGGGACCGCUGGCGCUAAGUCAGAGGAAGGAGAGGUCAACGGUAGGUCAGUAUGCCCCGAAUUUGCUGGGCUACACGCGCGUUACAAAGGGCGGGACAAUGGGCUCCGACACCGAAAGGUGAAGGUAAUCUCGAAACCCGUCCGUAGUUCGGAUUGAGGGUUGUAACUCACCCUCAUGAAGCUGGAUUCCGUAGUAAUCGCGAAUCAAAAACUCGC
rnacentral:rRNA from 1 species